UCAUGGCAGCAUAUCGUUAUGCUCCAUGUUUACAUUACGAUCGAAGUGCUAAAAGUUAAAUAUUAGUGGAAGAAUCGUGAAUAUCGGCCUAAUAUUCAACGAAAAUCGAGGCGAAAACAAUGGUGGCUGCCUUUUGCUGCCAGGAUGCAAACUGUCUGCAAAAGAUUGACCUGCAGAAACCCACAAAUCUUCUCAAGAUCAACCAUGAAGCCAUCUUGACUUGCAAGAUGCGCUACAGAUGGGCCAUCUCCCCACAUCUCCACCGUCAGCGCUCAGAUGAAGGGCAAUACAGUUAACCCCUUCAUCGUCCCCGGAACGGCCAGUGUGACUAUAGAUGCCCGCGAUAAAUAGAAAAAAGAUAUUGCUGCUGCUAUUAAUCCAAAGCCAUAAGAUAAAACGCAGAACCCGUCCCAUCAAACUCAAAGAAAAGUCGGAAUACAUCCGUAACCUCUGACGAAUGACUGGGAUUUAGGCUUUCUGCUAAACCCGUAUGCGCGUUGGAAUAAUGUAACAAAAAACUGCAAGAGAAAUUA